GCUGGGAUAGCUCUGUUGGCGGAGCACGAGACUCUGAAUCUCAGAGUUCUGGGUUCAAGUCCCACACUGGCA